GCCACGAACGCUAUGGUUACAUUCACGCCGCCGGUCCAACAGCCACGAGAACUUCGUUUAUUCCUUUACCACCAUUUGAUAAUGGCCGGUUUCGCACGGUGGUUGUAAGUGGUGUUCGUAACUUAUUGUUUUAGAAAAAGGCCCUAGCCUAAUUGUUUCCUGUUGCCGGAAAAACAUCGCAUCAAUUGUUUACGCAAUUUUUUACUUCUCAUUUUAAACAUAAAUAAAGUCAAAAGUGCCAAAGGGAUGUUAUUACAAGAUGGCUAGGGAUUUCUCGAUCGACAGGUUAAAACGAAGAAUGCACGUAAGGUGGGGAGAAUGCGUUGCGCAGAACGUCCUCUCCGAGAAAGAGAAUCUCGCUCGUGGAUAGGUGCGAACGGCACGCGCCUGCUGUGCGGCCACACGCAUAUAUUGUGCGUGAACUUGCUUCCAUCUCCCUUUUUCUUGUUUCUUUCUCGCUCUUUACUUUUCUCUUUCGGUAAUACGUUUUGUCGUGCGCGCGCGCGCGAGCUUAUACGAUACUGUCAGAUACAGAAAAUCGUGUAAAGAAAGAGGUGAGCGUGAGAAGAGAGGGAGUUUGGAAAUGGGACGGGAACUGGAUGACGGCGUGGCAGCAGCCACCUAGCCACCCAUCUCACUGACAGCGGCUCUUUGUAGAGCAUUGCUAGUCGCUUGCUUCGCAUAAUUUUCUUUGAUUCAAGUUUCGUUCUUUCUUCGAUCAAUUGGUAACACGGGACACGUAAAAUGAAUGUUUUCUUACAGAAAUUUCUGCGACAUCGAUUAUUCGUUAAUACUUGUAACGUUUAAAUCUACGAUUUGCAGUAACAGAUUUAUCAUGAAUACUGCAAUAUUGCGAAUGUUUCCUCAAUUUGUCGAUCUUUUAUCCGAACAUAUUGUUUAUUUUCGAGGCGAGAUUAGUUGUAAAAUAAUUCUUUCUAAAAAUAGUGGAUGCAAAUGAAAUAAAAAAGUAAUUAUCACAGGGAUAGACAGAAAUCACGAAAAUCUGUUGAUAGUCUUUAUCCGAGUGUUACGUAACUAUGUAUUCGCUAGACAAAAUGCUUUAAAACGUUGAGCGCCGUUUCAUUGCCAAGUUCUUUCACUUCAACUUAUUAUUUGACUUGAUACAGUUAAUAAUUAAUUUUUCGUUACAUCUUCCUAUUAUACUUCAUACCAUGUGAGACCUAUCGGCAAUUGAUUACAAGGUACUUUAUUCGUUGAUAUUGAAACUGCGCGUUAUUCAUAUAUUUCUAUGCGAUAGAAAGGUACAUUGAAUAAAAAUGAAGAUAUCAAUGAAAGAUACAUUGACCGAUUCUAAUACUAACUUCUGCAAUAAAUCACUAAAAAUACGCUUAAGAAAAGAAGUAUUGAAUUAAUUAACAUCAAUAUUGCAUUUCGAUUAUCACAAACACGACGGAUUAUUUUCACGCAAGCUUUCCGUUACUGAUAUCACUGUCGUUGUCUACCAUGAUAACGAAUACAGUUUUCGUAAUCUUUAUGAUACGAUUCGAUAUGGUCUCAUUUUAUAAUAUUUAUAGUAUGUAAUUAUAAAAUUGAAUUAUUGUUUAUCUAUUUUAAACGAAGAACAUAUAUAAAAAUGAUUACCUCAAUUACAUACUAAAGAAAAGGAAACCGCGUAUUUUUAUCUUAUAAUAAAUCACGUAAAAAGAUCCAAUAUUGAUCUCUUUGAUUACAUAUUCGAAAAUAAAGCAAUUAUAAUAGAUUAGAGGAACAAGAAGCUGUUACUUUUAUCUUUUGGAAAAUAUAAAAUAUAGUAUAAGUCAAGAAAAUUAUAAAAAACUGAAAUUAUAUUUUUUUAAUGCGGUAUAACGUUGUAAAUCAUUAUAAUAGUCAUGCGUUAGAGACACAAGGUUAUUUAUGUUUGAAACAUUUCAACGUCAUUCAUUUCAAAAAUUAUACUAACUAUUUUAGAUCAGUGUUUAGUAGAGUAUCGAUAGUAAAUUCAAGAUGAUACGGGCCAUGUUUCUUCUUUGUAUAUGGAAACAUCUUUCAAAAGGUACGUUUUAUUUGCAACUUUCAUUCCAUCCUAGCUAAAGGAAGCGAUAUGAUUUAACAAACGAGGAAGAUGAUUUGCAACUAGCUCAUUUUAAACAAAAUGAUACGAAUAUUUAUUUACGAAUACGCAUAACUAUUAAGUCUUGUACUUACGUAUUAACGUGCAUAAUACUAUAAGCGCGUAAUUUGACGAUACUUUAUAAAAUAAUUUUGAUAGCAUAAAAAUGAUUUAUAUACCGUCCAGUUAUAACUGGAGUAUUUGGAAUAAUAUUACACAAUAAGGACGGAAUAGAUGAACUGCAAGUAAAAGGACAUGUUUAAAAGGAAUGGUUUUUUAACUCAAAGAUCAAUAAUGUCUUUUGGUAUCAUGUCUAAUAAGAGUACCUCAACCUUGCUCUUUUAUAGUAACAGAAAGUACAUUUUGAUAACAAUACACAACAUUUCUUAUAAAUAAUCUUAUACAAGGUUGCUAAUUAUUGAUACUUGUAAUUAUUAACACACCAUCAUAGAAAUUUGUUAACAUUCCAUUUAACAUAAAAGACAACAACAUAUUUGGGUAUAGAGUAAUGUUCUUGACAAAUUAUUUCGAAACAAUAGGGUUUAAAUAUGAUACUUAUAAUCAGUAAAUCGCAUAUAACAAAUAUUACAAAAAAGUGAUACAUGCUACAUAAUUUGUGUUCGUAUAAAAUAAAUUUGGUUAAGUAUUUCAUUGAAAUUUUAAUCCGAGCAAAAUGUUUUUAUACGAAUUAUAGAUAAUAAAUAUAUAAAAAAUAUGUACCGACUUUAUUAUGUAGAGGGUGGAAUAUUACGAUGAAAUUAAUGUCGCAAAUAUUUGCAGAAAACUCAGUCUCAUAUUAUAUGUUAAUUGUACCAAUAAAAAAUUGAGUAAAUAUGACCUCUAUUAUAAAAAAUGCAGUUUACCCAAUAACACUUGUUACGGUUCAAAUUUUGAUAAAUUACCAUUUGAUAAAGUACCAAUAAUUUGAAAUAAUCGUAAUAAACUGAAAAAUUUUCAGUGUAAUAUCAUUCACAAGGUAAUUGUAAAUUUACAUACAAAUUUUUAUAUAAAUUACGACAAGGUACUUCUUAUUUUCUGCAAUAAUCCAUGAAGCAAUACAGCUGCAAUAAAAUUUUAUUUCCUUCAGUUAAAACAGUUUAAUUUCGUUAAAUUGUAUGUAGUAUUUUUGCGUUAACAACGGUUUUAUUACACCAAUGUUAUUCUCCUUAACAGCACAGUUAACAAAAAAUACAUUGUCGAAUUCAACUCUGACGUAUUUCACUUUAAAUAUAAAUAUAAAUAUUGGUUUAUUAUAUAAAUUAUACCAAUUAAAUUAUUAGAUAAAAUAAAAUUAAUUGCACAAAUAAUUAAAAUAUUUGGAGAAAACUUGCAUUCUAUAAUUGUAUAGUGUAUAACAUAUCCGCGUAUCCAAAUGAAUGCAAGUUUGUAACGUUCUUAAUUUAAAAAGAUUUGAUAAAUAAUUUCAU